UGCGCAGGCGGACUAUUAAGUCAGUGGUGAAAUCUCUCGGCCCAACCGAGAAACUGCCAUUGAAACUGAUAGCCUUGAGUGUAGUUGUAGUAGGCGGAAUAUAGCAUGUAGCGGUGAAAUGCUUAGAUAUGCUAUAGAACACCGAUCGCGAAGGCAGCUUACUAAACUAUUACUGACGCUCAUGCACGAAAGCGUGGGGAGCAAACAGGAUUAGAUACCCUGGUAGUCC
rnacentral:rRNA from 1 species